rnacentral:rRNA from 1 species
AGCUAUGGUCAUACUACAGUUUGUGUGUAUGAAAUUCUGUCAUACCGCGCUGCGAAAAGGGGUGGGAAUAAACAAGAUGAUUAGACAUUAGUACCUGGAUGGGAGACCACUAGGGAACACUAGGUUGCUGUUGGAA